rnacentral:misc_RNA from 1 species
AUUUGUCGAAUCAGAAGGAGCACUUGCAGAAAAGAUAUAAAUGUGACCAUCAAUGUGUAGUUCACCGCUUUGUUGUAGUAAACCUCUAUAUUGACAGAAGUAGCAUUCAAAAGCAUCGGUGAGAAACAGUCCCCGUCAGCAUCCACUGAAGGGCUCUCUAUCAAUCCUUCUAGUUGAUAAUGGUCACGAGCUGCAUCAUUUGAGGAGGAUGAGACACGAG